rnacentral:rRNA from 1 species
AGGUGAACCUGCGGAGGGAUCAUUACACAAAUAUGAAGGCGGGCUGGAACCUCUCGGGGUUACAGCCUUGCUGAAUUAUUCACCCUUGUCUUUUGCGUACUUCUUGUUUCCUUGGUGGGUUCGCCCACCACUAGGACAAACAUAAACCUUUUGUAAUUGCAAUCAGCGUCAGUAACAAAUUAAUAAUUACAACUUUCAACAACGGAUCUCUUGGUUCUGGCAUCGAUGAAGAACGCAGCGAAAUGCGAUAAGUAGUGUGAAUUGCAGAAUUCAGUGAAUCAUCGAAUCUUUGAACGCACAUUGCGCCCUUUGGUAUUCCAAAGGGCAUGCCUGUUCGAGCGUCAUUUGUACCCUCAAGCUUUGCUUGGUGUUGGGCGUCUUGUCUCUAGCUUUGCUGGAGACUCGCCUUAAAGUAAUUGGCAGCCGGCCUACUGGUUUCGGAGCGCAGCACAAGUCGCACUCUCUAUCAGCAAAGGUCUAGCAUCCAUUAAGCCUUUUUUUCAACUUUUGACCUCGGAUCAGGUAGGGAUACCCGCUGAACUUAAGC